rnacentral:rRNA from 1 species
AUUGAACGCUGGCGGAAUGCCUUACACAUGCAAGUCGAACGGCAGCACGGACUUCGGUCUGGUGGCGAGUGGCGAACGGGUGAGUAAUGUAUCGGAACGUGCCCAGUCGUGGGGGAUAACGUAGUGAAAAUUACGCUAAUACCGCAUACGAUCUAUGGAUGAAAGCGGGGGAUCGCAAGACCUCGCGCGAUUGGAGCGGCCGAUAUCAGAUUAGGUAGUUGGUGGGGUAAAGGCCCACCAAGCCAACGAUCUGUAGCUGGUCUGAGAGGACGCACAGCAACACUGGAACGGAGACACGGUCCAGACUACUACGGGAGGCAGCAGUGGGGAAUUUUGGACAAUGGGCGAAAGCCUGAUCCAGCCAUUCCGCGUGCAGGAUGAAGGCCCUCGGGUUGUAAACUGCUUUUGUACAGAACGAAAAGGUUUCUACUAAUACUAGGAGCUCAUGACGGUACUGUAAGAAUAAGCACCGGCUAACUACGUGCCAGCAGCCGCCGUAA